rnacentral:tRNA from 1 species
CAAAGUGUAGCUUAACUAAAGCGCCUGGCUUACACCCAGGAGAUUUCACAUACGGCUGACCGCUUUGA